UGUAAAGUUUCUAAGCUGCNAAAGAGAGGUGCUAAGCAACUCAGUGAGACCCUGUCUCUAAAUAAAAUAUAAAAUAGGGCUGGGGAUGUGACUCAGUGUCUGAGUGCCCCUGAGUUCAAUCCCCAGUAACCUCCCUCAAAAGAAUAUAUUCUUAGAUAUCAAUGAAAGAUAUCUCCUUCUACACAUACUAUGAAUAAAACAUUCAUAAAUAUUUUCUGGAAUGUUGAAAUUCUUAUGAAUAUUAUAAAUAUAUUCUUCUGAUGCCAUUUGGUCUCCUCUUUUCUCUGAAUCAUCACACCAGAAUUAAAGAGAUAGGAUAAAUCUUAUUUUAAUCUUAAUGAUAAAAUGUUCAAAUCAACAUAAGAUAAACCAGUCUUAAAUUAGUAUAAUCCAAUAGCAUGCAGAUAUCUCACAUAAAUAUUAUUAAUUGUAUUUUACUUAUCACCAAGCAAUGAAUUUCUCUAAGUCAUUGUUACAUAAAUGCUUCCUAGAGGCAUUACCCAAGUGGCAUGACUAUUUUAUGUCCACAAUUCACUUCUGUUAUUUACAAACAGAAUUUUAAUCAUUUACAUAGCACAUUUAUCAUUGAAGAUUUAACCUUGAGACACAAUCUAAUAUCCAUAAUCUGAUAAUUUGCAGCAGCAACGUGGGAGAGAAAUGUUUUUUAAUCACUUUUCACUUGAGUGACCUUAUGUUUAAAAAAUAAAUCAAUAAAUUGGAAGUUCUAAGUCUCCAAAGAGAUUUUCAAAUGCACACAUAGAAACGGUCAUAGUGAGAUUUUUAAGAAUCCAUCUUCGUGUCAUAUCUUGUUUAAUUGCUGUACAACUUUUUCUCCCAGCUGCUUCCCUUUGACUGCAUGGGAAUAAGAUGGGUGUUUUGCUUGACUUCUUUGAUGUCCUGAACUUUCCGCAGCUCUUUAUUUUUCUCCAACCUGUUAAUUAUAAAUUUAGCGUGGCAUUUCUGUUUGAUCUCUUAGACUCUCUUCGUUGCAUCAGUAGUUUUAUUCCAUAGCUCUUGCAGGUUCAUUUCUACGUUUUUCAAAUUUAAAUCAGCAAUCCACAGUCAGCCUUUCACCUGUUGCUUUCCAGAAUGCUUUAGUCCACCUGAAUUU
rnacentral:lncRNA from 1 species